rnacentral:lncRNA from 1 species
CGAAGGCACUGUAUGUAACUGUGUCUCAAUGUAAUCAAGGUAUGAAAUUAUUAUUAUUUUCAAAUACAAUCUUCUUUUGGGCUUAGUUGUGGUCAACUUGCAGUGUACAAAUUAUUAUAACAAUGUUCUGGUCCCCAACCAUCCGCUCCAAACAAAAAUAGUCCCGCAGCAGAAUCUUGUUGCCUACUCCUGCCCUACCCAGGGCUGUUCCUGGAGGGCCGAAACACUUCUGGUUUUCAUCCUCUCCCUAUAUAGUGUACUUUGUGAAAGCUAUUGGUACAUGAAACGCCUUAAGUAAGGAACACAUCUCUACUUUGUCCUUCAGACCCCCUAUUCCUGCAACAACAAAAAAAGGCACGUCUUACGAUACUGUGGAUUUGUAAAGGAAUAUAAAUAUAUUGUACAAAUACAUCACGCAAUGUGUUAAAAACACUAAAUCAUGACCUAUAUGUGAAAAUAUAUUAAUGAAAUGUAAGAUAGAUGUAUGCAUAUUUCAUUUUUCCUCUAUAAAGUAUACAUGAGAUAUAGUUAUAUUUGAUCAUGUCAAAUACAAAAGAAGCCCGUUCCAAGGAGUGGGUGAUUGAGUGUUUGAGUUGUGUUUUUCCUGUUUAAAAGACUGCAGCUAUAGUGUGUAUUAUUGGGCUUCGGGGGAGACUGCACACUAUGCUGUGAGUAGCACCAUCAACAGAUGAAAUACAAUGCUGUUUUAUUUCUUCUUCUUCUUCUUAACCUUUACUUUAUCCAGGUUUUUGGAAACAGACCUGGUUGGAUUGAGGUUUGCUUUAGUGCUUCAUCAAUAAUGUUGAAUCAACGUUGAAACAAUGAUGUAUGUUGGUUUGUGUGUCGCUUUGCGUUCAGGACCCUGGCCAUGGCUGGUCUGAUAGCCCUGUAGCACAAGGAGAGAGAGAGAGUUGUGUUGUUGAACACAACAUUAUACUAUACACUGGACUGGUGUGUGUUAUGUGUGACCUCACAGGUUAGAAUCGUACUCUUUCUUAAAACUCUCCUGUUUGCUAGUUCAUGUCAAAGAAGCAUGCUGCAUAAAGACUGUGACCCCCCCACUUUGCUUCGAGGCAUCUAUCUCUCCUCUCCUCUUUUUCUCUCCCCUUCUCCCUCAUUCCCUCUCUCUCUAUUGAAUGUGAAGAUGCUACUCAAACACACGGUUGGUCAUAAUGUGGGGUCUAGGCCUAUUGUCCCUGAAUGAUUCUAUAGCUACUGAUCCGCUUGCUCCUACCACCCCACAGACAUUUUCAGCAUCUAUAUUUUGUAUAUUUUUGUAUUCAUUUUUCUUACCUUUACAGACGAGUUAGGGUUGAAAAAUCUGCAUGCUUCAUUUUGGCGCUAUAACGAAUGGUUGCGACGCACUGCGUCACCAUUUUUUUUUUUUUUACGUUUCCAAUAUAGGAAGAUGAUGAAAUGUUGUUUUUAUGAGUUGCUGCAGACAUGAAUUAUAUGUGAUUAUAUAUCAUAUAAAUAUAUGAUAAUGAUGAGUGUAUCAAGAGGCUGGACAGCCUUGGAGACGAGAGUGUAGAUAAAAUGUUCACAAUAUUUUUAACUAAUGUUAAAAAGAGAGCCUUUUUUUGUAAAUGUACCUUGUGUUCAAUAAUACUGCUGUAUCGAUUGAUAUGACAUCAUGGAUAUUGUAAAUAGCUCAACCAGCCAUCUGUCCUGUUCAGUUAGAUCUCCAGGUUGUAGCGCAAUUGUCUAAUCCCCCCCGCAUUCAGUAUUCUCUUUUUUUAUCAAGGGAAAAAAACUUCAAAAGUAUAUUGCAAAAUGUAAAUGACUAUGUUGACUCUGAGAGGUUUUGGAUGAUGUCUGGUGUGGUGAGAGAGAAACACAAGCACAAAACCCCAUUUGUCAUCAGCCCAGCUCUGCACUUUUACAAUGGAGGUUUUAAGCAUUGAUAGAGCUGGAUUCAAACCUUAUCGGAUUUAAAUUCAAAGGCAAUGUUCCCGCGUUCGCAGAGACUUACUUACUUACUUAGGCCCAUCUCUCCUUUGGGAGCUUCCUUGUGGGUUCCAGUAUAGCGCUUGCCUGGUGAUGUUGGAGGGGAACUUUCGGAGGGUGUGGCCGAUCCAUCCCCAUCUUCUCCUCCGGAUCUCCUCUUCCACCGGAACCUGGCUGGUGCGCUCCCACAGGUCAAUGUUACUGACUCUGUCCAUCCAUCUGAUGUUAAGGAUGCGUCGCAGGCACUUGUUUACGAAGCUCUGAGUUGUUGUUAUUGUGGGUUUUGUUGUCCUCCAUUUUUCUGAGCCAUACAGCAUCACUGACUUAACAUUGGUGUUGAAAGUGUUUGUGUUUUUAUUUUCCUGGAGCUCCAGAUGUUUCUUUGGGAGAUGAAGGCUACUCUUGCUUUUUGAAUUCUGGCCUUACGUCCUGCUCGGUUUCGCCAUGUUUGGUGAUGCACAGGUAGGUGAAAAAACUGGCAUCCUCCAGUGGUUCUUCUCCGAGGGUGAUUGGAUUGUUAGAUUCGUUGUUGAUCGUUAUCUUGGUUUUGUUUCUGUGGAUAUGGAGUCUUUGUUGGGAUGGUGUGGUGUCCAGGUCUGACGUUUUAUCUUGCAUUUGCUGUUGACUGUGUGACAGGAGUGCUAGAUCCUCCGCAAAGUUGAGGUCGUCCAACUGUGUCCAUAGAGACCAUUGUAUGCCAUGUCACCUGUUCUCGGUUGUCUUCCUCAUGAUCCAGUCAAUGGCUAACAGGAAAAGGAAGGGUGACAGGAGACAUCCCUGUUUUUCUCCAGUCAGGACUCUGAAGAGUGUGCUAAGCUUGCCGGCAUGCACAACCCUGCAUGUUAUGCCAUUAUAGGUAGUGCAGAUCAUUCUGGAAAGCUUCUCUGGUACACCAUAGUGUCUGAGGAGCCUCCAUAGGGCGUCUCUGUGUCUAGGCUGUCAAAUGCUUUCUCAUAGUCCACGAAGUUGACAUACAGGGAAGAGUUUCAGUCAAUGGAUUGCUCAAAUGUAAUGCGGAGCGUGGCACUUUCGUGGAAACUGCAUUUACCUGUAAACGCUGCAUAUGUCUGCUCAAUUGGAAAUGAUCUAGACAUUUUAACGUGGAUCUUCCGCGAUACGGAUUGAAUCCAGCCCCUAGUCUACGUUCCAUAAACACACCCCUGUCUUUUGGACUGCAGAAGUGUGCACUCCUGGCUUGAUCAGCCAUGUCGUGGAGUGUACUACUGGGUGCAAUACUCAUAUAAUUUGCUCACUCAAUUUACUUCAAUUGUCUAUUUUAUGCCCAGCAUUUUUAGGGGAAAAGAGAUUACUGACUGUUGUAGAGAGGACUUAAUGAAGUCAAGACUUCUGUCUUUAGGGGUGUGUUCUCUGUAGUCCUCUGUGUAGUCUCUACCUCUAAAGGGAAACAGGAAAUUGAAAAUGCCAACUUUCCCAAAUCAGCUAGUUUAAUACUGGUUUAAACUGUCAUUAUCUAUUAGUGUUACCAAUGCCUCAUAGCAUAAUGCCACUUCCAUAGAAAUAGGGAAUGCAAUGUCCUUCAUUUGGCUAUCAAUUCUAAAUCCUCUGUAUGUUUCUGGUCACGUCCCACCUCUGUUCCACCUUCAUUAAGUUGUUAAAGAAUGUAGGAGAGGAGAGUCAGAGAGAGAAAUGUGAUGAUGAUGUCUCUGUAGCCACACACACACACAAUUAUACAGGACAUACAGUGCAGUUACAGCCAGUGGGAAAAAAAUACUAUAAACUAAAUAUAUCUAUAAAUAAAGUAAAAGAUGUAUGUUUUCUAAUAUCUUGUAGAAAAUGCUUUUGUAAUGAUGUUGAAAGUAAAGUAUUUGCUGGAUUCUGCUUCCUUGGACAACAGUGACAAAACAAUAAUGUACAGAGGAAUUUGUCUGUGUUGACGAUAUAUAUAUAUAAAAAAAACAAUGUGGCUGUGCAAUUUAUGUACAUUUGCAACUAGACUUAUUAAAGUUU